AGUGAACGCUGGCGGUAGGCCUAACACAUGCAAGUCGAACGGCAGCACAGUAAGAGCUUGCUCUUACGGGUGGCGAGUGGCGGACUGGUGAGGAAUACAUCGGAAUCUACUUUUUCGUGGGGGAUAACGUAGGGAAACUUACGCUAAUACCGCAUGCGACCUACGGGUGAAAGCAGGGGAUCUUCGGACCUUGCGCGAUUGAAUGAGCCGAUGUCGGAUUAGCUAGUUGGCGGGGUAAAGGCCCACCAAGGCGACGAUCCGUAGCUGGUCUGAGAGGAUGAUCAGCCACACUGGAACUGAGACACGGUCCAGACUCCUACGGGAGGCAGCAGUGGGGAAUAUUGGACAAUGGGCGCAAGCCUGAUCCAGCCAUACCGCGUGGGUGAAGAAGGCCUUCGGGUUGUAAAGCCCUUUUGUUGGGAAAGAAAAGCAGCAGGUUAAUACCCCGCUGUUCUGACGGUACCCAAAGAAUAAGCACCGGCUAACUUCGUG
rnacentral:rRNA from 1 species